GCAUCAAUGGGGUAGUGGUAACCUGGGUCGUUGCCACGGUUGCAGUGGAAAGUGCUCCUCUUCGACCCGCCGGGGGUUCGAUUCCCUCUUGAUGCA